CCCGUGCUUCCUCGAAUGCUCCCUCUCUCCUUCUUUCUUCUCUCACAGUUUGGACUCAUGGUUUCUUAUUUUAUUCAAGGAGUUAAAAUCAAUUACUAUCAUUAUUGAUUUUGAUGCACAGAGAGAUCCAGAUUUGCCCUAUGGGAACUCCUGCACAGUACUUUCUGGGCCUUAUUGAUGUGCCCCCUGUUCUUUGAGCAUAUACUUCCUUUCUAGCACAGCAAGAUUUUCGAUUCGAGGCUUUUAUACUUUCCCUGUGCCAGGCCUGCAAUCAACCAUUUCUACAAGGGGCUCUAGCUCCCUUCAGAAGACAAAAUUCAAGUGCUUGAGGCUUUGAUCUCUCUCAGUGAAGACAGCCAGAGAGCAUAUCUCCCCAUGAGUUCAUACCAGUGCUGCCAAUGCCAAUCCAACACCACUGGAGUGGUUCUUUUGUCUUUUUUCAUACUUGCUACACUCCUUCCUAACAGUAGGGAGCCUGGCUUCUAUUACUUUGAUAUGCAAGGGUUUACUGAAAUAUAUAGUGAAUAUUUAAAAUUUUAAAAAUUAUUACAAUAAAAGACACAUUGCCAUUAACUCUCCUCAAGAUACUCCCCCUUAUUUUGAACACAAUUAUCCCAUUCUCCUGGCCACUUUCUGAAGCAGUUCUGGAAGUCCUCUUUCAUGAGUGUCUUUCUGAGGUGUGAUUAAAGAAACAUGGUGAAUGCUACUGCUGAGUGCCACCCAACAGAAAGGCCGGCUUGUAAAACCAUUUAGUGUGUUCUCAUUCACUACAUCUGGCACCAUGAGAUUUCUGGCUCUUUCCCAACGUCAAAAUGACCUUGAAAGGUUAAUGUUUUGAAUCAGUUCAGGACAACCAGGCAUCCACAACAGCACAAGUAAAGAUACACAUGAGAGAGGACCUCCAGAACUACUUCAGAAAGUGGCAAGAAUUAUGGGAGUCUCCAGCCUUAAUUGCAAGCUUCCAGCCCCAGCCUGGCUCUUGGAAUGUUCCCCAUGUGGAUGCAGAUCAAAACUCAGCUGGGAGAUUUCUGACCCACCCAUGGCUUCAGAGUUGGCUUAAUCCCAUCCAGCCUGCAGAUUCCACACCUCAGAGCCUGCCCUCACGCUUUCUGGAGUCUAGAUCUGGCAAACAUUUGCUAGGUUCCAAACCUUGCCAUGCCGAGGGCAGUUAUCCUUGUCUCACUGCAUCAUAA
rnacentral:lncRNA from 1 species